GUCAGCAUAGCUCAGUUAAUAAGACUGAUAAUCAAGGCUGCACACAUUAGAGGUGUGUGGGUUCGAAUCCCACUGCUGACA
rnacentral:tRNA from 1 species